rnacentral:lncRNA from 1 species
CCCAUGUGAUACGUGGAAGUAAAAAGCUAUCAAUGACCAAGCAUCUGAACUCUUAUCCCACCCUGUUCUUCUCCUGCCAUGUAAAUUUAAAAUUAAUAAGCCUGCUAUUAGAGAACAGAGUUGGUGCUGCAUCUGUCUUCCUAAAAAUAUGGAUAAUUACCAGCCCACAAUGGCUUCUAAUCAGAUUUGAGUAGUCCCUUAGACAGGAAGCUAAAGUGCCUCAGCCCUAAACUGAGAAGAAAACAGAAACUGGAAUGCUCUAGGUUUGAUUUUUUCCCCCUUGUUCUAAAGUUGCUGUUCCCGAAUCUCCUUCUACUGUCUUGCUUAUAAAAUGUAUGAGAAACAGGGAAAUUUAAAGACAUGAUAGAAAUGGCCACUUUUUCUAGGUACAAACUUUGUGAACAUUAUUUUCAGCUGCUGGGCUUUUUCUCCACAAACUGUGAGCCUGGAGGACAUUUUCUCCCUCGUGGUUACACAUUCAGAGUCAGGGAAGGUGGCUUUAGCAGUAAAGAGGGGAGUGCAGUGAGAAGUGACCGGACACUGAGAAGGGCAGACAGGGACUCUACCUCGGUGGCCUGCAGCACUCCUGGGCCUCGGCCUUUACUUUUCUAUCUGUACAAAGGAUCUAAAGGCCCGUGAUUCUAGGCCACGACAGCUCUUCAUACACACAUACGCGAACAUCACUGUGAAAAGCUGUGACACUUGGCUGAUUUCCUGAAGAAGUUAUCUUGUAUCAUUUCUACUCAAGUACUCCACCUCCUUCCAGACAAGUAUCUGAGGAUGAUGGGCUAUCCCACAGCCAUGUGUGUAACCUCUGCUGCUUACGAUCCCUGUUCACAUAGCAUUUUCCAAAAGCAUUUGGUGUGAAGUGACAGAAGAAAGAAGAAUAAGGUUCUUUCAGCCCAUUCAUUCAUUCAUUCAACAAAUAUUGACUGACUAUCUACGUGCCAGACACUGGUGAUAUAACAGCGAACAUAUAUUUUUGUAGGUAGAGACAGACAACCAAAAAGUAUGUUAAAGAGUGAUCGAUGCUGUAGAGGAAAAUACACCAGGAAACAGGAAAGAAGAAUACCCCUAGCCACCCUACACUGGGGUGACGCUAGUGUUACAAAAUGGAAACAGCGGCCGGGCGCGGUGGCUCACACCUGUAUUCUCAGCUCUUUGGGAGACUGAGGCAGGCAGAUCACCUGAGUUCAGGAGUUCAAGAUCAGCCUGACCAAUAUGGCAAAACUCUGUCUCUACUAAAAACAUAAAAAUUAGCUGGACGUGGUGGCACACACCUGUAAUCCCAGUUACUCAGGAAGCUGAGGCACAAGAAUCAUUUGAACCUGGGAGGCAGAGGUUGGAGUGAGCCGAUAUCACGCAACUGCACUCCAGCCUGGGUGACAGAGGAAGACUCUGUCUCAAAAAAAAAAAAAUAAAAAAUAAAAA